rnacentral:rRNA from 1 species
ACGAACGCUGGCGGCGUGCUUAACACAUGCCAGUCGCACGGAAAGGCCCUGCUUUUGUGGGGUGCUCGAGUGGCGAACGGGUGAGUAACACGUGAGUAACCUGCCCUUGACUUUGGGAUAACUUCAGGAAACUGGGGCUAAUACCGGAUAGGAGCUCCUGCUGCAUGGUGGGGGUUGGAAAGUUUCGGCGGUUGGGGAUGGACUCGCGGCUUAUCAGCUUGUUGGUGGGGUAGUGGCUUACCAAGGCUUUGACGGGUAGCCGGCCUGAGAGGGUGACCGGCCACAUUGGGACUGAGAUACGGCCCAGACUCCUACGGGAGGCAGCAGUGGGGAAUAUUGCACAAUGGGCGGAAGCCUGAUGCAGCAACGCCGCGUGCGGGAUGACGGCCUUCGGGUUGUAAACCGCUUCCGCCUGUGACGAAGCGUGAGUGACGGUAAUGGGUAAAGAAGCACCGGCUAACUACGUG